rnacentral:rRNA from 1 species
CCGGUUUGGGUGUGGAUGAGUGGCGAACGGGUGAGUAACACGUGAGUAACCUGCCCCCUUCUUCUGGAUAACCGCAUGAAAGUGUGGCUAAUACGGGAUAUUCUGGGUCUGUCGCAUGGCGGGUCUGGGAAAGAUGCGCCUUUGGGUGUUUUUGUGGGGGAUGGGCUCGCGGCCUAUCAGCUUGUUGGUGGGGUGAUGGCCUACCAAGGCGGUGACGGGUAGCCGGCCUGAGAGGGUGGACGGUCACACUGGGACUGAGACACGGCCCAGACUCCUACGGGAGGCAGCAGUGGGGAAUAUUGCACAAUGGGCGCAAGCCUGAUGCAGCGACGCCGCGUGAGGGAUGGAGGCCUUCGGGUUGUAAACCUCUUUCGCCAGUGAAGCAGGCCUGCUCCUUGUGGGUGGGUUGACGGUAGCUGGAUAAGAAGCGCCGGCUAACUACGUGCCAGCAGCCGCGGUAAUACGUAGGGCGCGAGCGUUGUCCGGAAUUAUUGGGCGUAAAGAGCUCGUAGGCGGUUUGUCGCGUCUGUCGUGAAAGUCCGGGGC